UUUGGAAGUACACCCUGCUCAAUGAAUAAUUGUUUCAAUAGCCGCAGUAUACUGACUGUGCAAAGGUAGCAUAAUAACUUGUUUUUUUAAUUAAAUUGCUGAAUGAAUGGGGUAAGGAUAUGUUGAAGUUUUCUUUAUUAUCUAAAGAACUUAAUAAAAAGAGUAAAAAUUUCUCUUUUUUGUUGUUUAAGACGAAAAGACCCUAGUAGAACUUGAAAUAAUUAUUUGUUUUUGUUUGGGGGGUAUUGUAUUUAUUAUGAAUAUAGGUAAAUGAAAAGUUUCCUUAGGGAUAACAAGGGAAUUAUACUUGAGAGUUCGAAUCGAAGGUGGAGAUUCCUAUCUCGAUGUUGAAUCAAAAUAACUUUUAGGUGUAGAGGCUUAAGGAGUUAGC
rnacentral:rRNA from 1 species